AAAAACAACUGAAUCCAAACUAAAACAGAAGCCCAUUUCUAAUUAAUUGCCUUUAAAGCAAUUAGGAACUAUUUGGUUUUUUUUCUUUCUUUCUUUCUUUUUUUUUCUUUUUAGCCCACACGAAACCCUUAAAAAGGAUCUUCCAAGGAUUCAAAGAACAUUUGUUGGGUCUUAAUGUUCCCCAGACACGAAGUGACAUCUGCCUCCCUCCCCUGCACGCCUGCUGCUCUUUGUUCAGACGAGCACCGAGGGGAGAGCACAUUGAAGGCAAAGAUGAUGUCACCAUUGUGAUCAUUACUGUGGUGCCCUAUUUUUGACCAGGCGUCACUGAGGGCAGCCAGGCAAGAAUGCCUGCCUGCGUACUGCCAGGAGGAACACAGGCCUGCCAGAGUUAAUUAACGCAGGGCCUGCUCACGUCGCUCUUAAAACGGUCUUAAGACCACCCCGCAUGCAAACACACCUACAUGGCUACGGUAGCCAUACAUGCAAGUCCUAGUCCGUUUGAGCAGCUAUCCUCCUGGAGGAGGGGGUUAGAUGAAAAGAGUUUGCAGGUUGUCGCUCGUGCGCCGUGUGUGUCUCUCUGCUUCAGUGAUCAGUGUUUUUCAUAUCGAAACUUGCAGACACACUCAUUUGGAAAACCGGACUGACAGAUGUUGCCACCUUCUUCAGACUUGACAAGGUGUGUGCUGUCGCGUCAGAGCCCGAACCUGAAGCACUCAUUUUAAUUGUGAAAGAGGUAGUGGAAGCUUUCCCAUGACCCUGUAGGUUAAAAGGGAAGUGACGCGGGUUCUCUCUGGUUGUGGUUCCUCUCGCCAAGCACGCCGAGAGAUAUUCUUAAGGUGUCUUCGUGUUCAACGGGUCAGAACCUAAGAAAAGCGAACAGAGAGGAAGUGCAGCGCUUGAGUUGACCGUGUUGUGCUCUUUUUCAUUUCAAGUCCUUAAAUUGAGAUUUUUAUCAACGAAAGAGGGGCGGAUCGUUCACUAGUCCCUGCUGCAGCAAAGUACCCACACAACUUGAUGCGGCCACUCCUUAGUACUUCGGAGCUGAGAUGAUGUUCUCAGGUGUGCAAGAUUCCUCCUUUGUCCUCUAAAUGUAACAGUGAGCAUUAUGGACUUUAAUGUCUUCAGGAAACGUCUCCGAAAUUUUAAGACAACUGUCAUUGCAGUUGUAAUCUCUAAAAUGUCUUUGUUUGUUUGAUUUUAUUUCAUUUUUAUAGACAUGGCUGUAAAUUCUUGAUGAAUACUCUGUUCUUUUCUGUACGGGACAUUGUGGUUUUGCAAAGUGACCAAAGCAUUUAAAAAUGAAAACAAGGCAUUUCACGACCUUCAAGUCUAAUAAAAACCCCAUAAGCCUCAGUCCCACACAA